GGGACACGUGGUAUCCUGUCUGAAUAUGGGGGGACCAUCCUCCAAGGCUAAAUACUCCUGACUGACCGAUAGUGAACCAGUACCGUGAGGGAAAGGCGAAAAGAACCCCGGCGAGGGGAGUGAAAAAGAACCUGAAACCGUGUACGUACAAGCAGUGGGAGCACGCUUAGGCGUGUGACUGCGUACCUUUUGUAUAAUGGGUCAGCGACUUAUAUUCUGUAGCAAGGUUAACCGAAUAGGGGAGCCGAAGGGAAACCGAGUCUUAACUGGGCGUUAAGUUGCAGGGUAUAGACCCGAAACCCGGUGAUCUAGCCAUGGGCAGGUUGAAGGUUGGGUAACACUAACUGGAGGACCGAACCGACUAAUGUUGAAAAAUUAGCGGAUGACUUGUGGCUGGGGGUGAAAGGCCAAUCAAACCGGGAGAUAGCUGGUUCUCCCCGAAAGCUAUUUAGGUAGCGCCUCGUGAAUUCAUCUCCGGGGGUAGAGCACUGUUUCGGCAAGGGGGUCAUCCCGACUUACCAACCCGAUGCAAACUGCGAAUACCGGAGAAUGUUAUCACGGGAGACACACGGCGGGUGCUAACGUCCGUCGUGAAGAGGGAAACAACCCAGACCGCCAGCUAAGGUCCCAAAGUCAUGGUUAAGUGGGAAACGAUGUGGGAAGGCCCAGACAGCCAGGAUGUUGGCUUAGAAGCAGCCAUCAUUUAAAGAAAGCGUAAUAGCUCACUGGUCGAGUCGGCCUGCGCGGAAGAUGUAACGGGGCUAAACCAUGCACCGAAGCUGCGGCAGCGACGCUGAUGCGUUGUUGGGUAGGGGAGCGUUCUGUAAGCCUGCGAAGGUGUGCUGUGAGGCAUGCUGGAGGUAUCAGAAGUGCGAAUGCUGACAUAAGUAACGAUAAAGCGGGUGAAAAGCCCGCUCGCCGGAAGACCAAGGGUUCCUGUCCAACGUUAAUCGGGGCAGGGUGAGUCGACCCCUAAGGCGAGGCCGAAAGGCGUAGUCGAUGGGAAACAGGUUAAUAUUCCUGUACUUGGUGUUACUGCGAAGGGGGGACGGAGAAGGCUAUGUUGGCCGGGCGACGGUUGUCCCGGUUUAAGCGUGUAGGCUGGUUUUCCAGGCAAAUCCGGAAAAUCAAGGCUGAGGCGUGAUGACGAGGCACUACGGUGCUGAAGCAACAAAUGCCCUGCUUCCAGGAAAAGCCUCUAAGCAUCAGGUAACAUCAAAUCGUACCCCAAACCGACACAGGUGGUCAGGUAGAGAAUACCAAGGCGCUUGAGAGAACUCGGGUGAAGGAACUAGGCAAAAUGGUGCCGUAACUUCGGGAGAAGGCACGCUGAUAUGUAGGUGAAGUCCCUCGCGGAUGGAGCUGAAAUCAGUCGAAGAUACCAGCUGGCUGCAACUGUUUAUUAAAAACACAGCACUGUGCAAACACGAAAGUGGACGUAUACGGUGUGACGCCUGCCCGGUGCCGGAAGGUUAAUUGAUGGGGUCAGCGCAAGCGAAGCUCUUGAUCGAAGCCCCGGUAAACGGCGGCCGUAACUAUAACGGUCCUAAGGUAGCGAAAUUCCUUGUCGGGUAAGUUCCGACCUGCACGAAUGGCGUAAUGAUGGCCAGGCUGUCUCCACCCGAGACUCAGUGAAAUUGAACUCGCUGUGAAGAUGCAGUGUACCCGCGGCAAGACGGAAAGACCCCGUGAACCUUUACUAUAGCUUGACACUGAACAUUGAGCCUUGAUGUGUAGGAUAGGUGGGAGGCUUUGAAGUGUGGACGCCAGUCUGCAUGGAGCCGACCUUGAAAUACCACCCUUUAAUGUUUGAUGUUCUAACGUGGACCCGUGAUCCGGGUUGCGGACAGUGUCUGGUGGGUAGUUUGACUGGGGCGGUCUCCUCCUAAAGAGUAACGGAGGAGCACGAAGGUUGGCUAAUCCUGGUCGGACAUCAGGAGGUUAGUGCAAUGGCAUAAGCCAGCUUGACUGCGAGCGUGACGGCGCGAGCAGGUGCGAAAGCAGGUCAUAGUGAUCCGGUGGUUCUGAAUGGAAGGGCCAUCGCUCAACGGAUAAAAGGUACUCCGGGGAUAACAGGCUGAUACCGCCCAAGAGUUCAUAUCGACGGCGGUGUUUGGCACCUCGAUGUCGGCUCAUCACAUCCUGGGGCUGAAGUAGGUCCCAAGGGUAUGGCUGUUCGCCAUUUAAAGUGGUACGCGAGCUGGGUUUAGAACGUCGUGAGACAGUUCGGUCCCUAUCUGCCGUGGGCGCUGGAGAACUGAGGGGGGCUGCUCCUAGUACGAGAGGACCGGAGUGGACGCAUCACUGGUGUUCGGGUUGUCAUGCCAAUGGCACUGCCCGGUAGCUAAAUGCGGAAGAGAUAAGUGCUGAAAGCAUCUAAGCACGAAACUUGCCCCGAGAUGAGUUCUCCCUGACUCCUUGAGAGUCCUGAAGGAACGUUGAAGACGACGACGUUGAUAGGCCGGGUGUGUAAGCGCAGCGAUGCGUUGAGCUAACCGGUACUAAUGAACCGUGAG
rnacentral:rRNA from 1 species